GACGAACGCUGGCGGCGUGCUUAACACAUGCAAGUCGAACGGAAAGGCCCUGCUUGCAGGGUCCUCGAGUGGCGAACGGGUGAGUAACACGUGGGUGAUCUGCCCUGCACUUCGGGAUAAGCCUGGGAAACUGGGUCUAAUACCGGAUAGGAGCCAUUUUUAGUGUGAUGGUUGGAAAGUUUUUUCGGUGUAGGAUGAGCUCGCGGCCUAUCAGCUUGUUGGUGGGGUAAUGGCCUACCAAGGCGGCGACGGGUAGCCGGCCUGAGAGGGUGGACGGCCACAUUGGGACUGAGAUACGGCCCAGACUCCGACGGGAGGCAGCAGGGGGGAAUAUUGCACAAUGGGCGCAAGCCUGAUGCAGCGACGCCGCGGGGGGGAUGACGGCCUUCGGGUUGGAAACUCAUUUCGCUAGGGACGAAGCUUUUUGUGACGGUACCUAGAGAAGAAGCACCGGCUAACUACGUG
rnacentral:rRNA from 1 species